CUUUUUUUAGGGCUGUACCCAAGGCAUGUGGAAGCUCCCAGGCUAGGGGUCUAAUCGGAGCAACAGCUGCUGGCCUAUGCCUGAGCCACAGCAACGCCAGAUCCCAGCUUCAUCUGUGACCUAUACCACAGCUCACGGCAACGCCAGAUCCUUAACCCACUGAGCAAGGCCAGGGAUCGAACCUAAAACCUCACGGUUCCUAGUCAGAUUUUUUUCCGCUGUGCUUCGACAGGAACUCCUUCCCCAAGUAGUUGAAAAUUCAUGUCCACACAGAAACAUGCACAUGAAUGUUUAAAGCGGCUUUAUUCAUAAUUGCCAAAUACUGGAAGCAACCAAAUGUCCUUCAAAAGCUGAACAGAUAGACACACUGGCAUAUCCAUAUAAUUAAUAAUGUCCAGCAAUAAGAAGAAAUGAGCGGUUGGAGUUCCCGGGGUGGCACAGCAGAAGUGAUUCCUACUAGGAUCCAUGAGGAUGAGGGUUUGAUCCUUGGCCUCAAUUAGUGGGUUAAGGAUCCAGCGUUGCUGUGAGCUGUGGUGUAUGUCCCAGACAUGACUCAGAUCCCGUGUCGCUGAGGCUGUGGUGUAGGCUGGCAGCUAUAGCUCCAAUUCAACCCCUUUCCUGGGAAAUUCCAUCUUGCGUAUGCCGAAUCUCUGGCCCUAAAAAAGUAAAAAAAGAGAGAGUUCCUGUUGUGGCUCAGUGGUAACAAACCUGACUAGUAUCUGUGAGGAUCGGAUUCCUGGCCCUGCUCAGUGGGUUAAGGAUCCAGCGUUGACGUGAGCUGCAGUGACCUGGCUGGGAUCCGGGUGUGGCUGUGGUGUAGGCUGGCAGCUGCAGCUUUGAUUGGAUCCCUAGCCUGGAACGUCCAUAUGCUGCAGGUGUGGCCCUUAAAAAUAUACAGUCUGUUAAUUAAAAGAAAGAGAGAGAGAUUAAAUGAACAAAUCUGUAAAAUAAGUGGAUUAAAUUAUUUCCAGCUUUGAAUCUCAGAAUUAUUUCCAGCUCUGAA
rnacentral:lncRNA from 1 species